CAUUGGUAAGAAUCCAAUGCCCUAAAAACCUAAGGGUUCCUCUGCAAGGUUCGUCUACGAAGGGUGAGUUAGGGCCUAAGAUUAGGCCAAAAGGUGUAGUCGACGGACAACAGGUGAAUAUUCCUGUACUAUACCUUGUUGGUCUUGAGAGAUGAAGGAGGCUAGGUUAGUCAAAAGAUGGUUAUCAGUUCAAGAACAUAGACUAACUAUCUCUAAACAUUGUCUCCCCAUGUGAUACAGGGUUCUAAGGAAAUUCUACUUUUCCUGCAUAAUGUUAGGUAGAUCAGCCCAGUUUAUCGG
rnacentral:ncRNA from 1 species